AGCGAACGCUGGCGGCAGGCCUAACACAUGCAAGUCGAACGAAGUCUUCGGACUUAGUGGCGGACGGGUGAGUAACACGUGGGAACGUGCCUUUAGGUUCGGAAUAACUCAGGGAAACUUGUGCUAAUACCGAAUGUGCCCUUCGGGGGAAAGAUUUAUCGCCUUUAGAGCGGCCCGCGUCUGAUUAGCUCGUUGGUGAGGUAAAGGCUCACCAAGGCUACGAUCAGUAGCUGGUCUGAGAGGAUGACCAGCCACAUUGGGACUGAGACACGGCCCAAACUCCUACGGGAGGCAGCAGUGGGGAAUCUUGCGCAAUGGGCGAAAGCCUGACGCAGCCAUGCCGCGUGGAUGAUGAAGGUCUUAGGAUUGUAAAAUCCUUUCACCGGUGAAGAUAAUGACUGUAGCCGGAGAAGAAGCCCCAGCUAACUUCGUGCCAGCCGCCGCGGUAAUAC
rnacentral:rRNA from 1 species